GCAGGCCUAACACAUGCAAGUCGAACGGUAACAGGAAGAAGCUUGCUUCUUUGCUGACGAGUGGCGGACGGGUGAGUAAUGUCUGGGAAACUGCCUGAUGGAGGGGGAUAACUACUGGAAACGGUAGCUAAUACCGCAUAACGUCGCAAGACCAAAGAGGGGGACCUUCGGGCCUCUUGCCAUCGGAUGUGCCCAGAUGGGAUUAGCUAGUAGGUGGGGUAACGGCUCACCUAGGCGACGAUCCCUAGCUGGUCUGAGAGGAUGACCAGCCACACUGGAACUGAGACACGGUCCAGACUCCUACGGGAGGCAGCAGUGGGGAAUAUUGCACAAUGGGCGCAAGCCUGAUGCAGCCAUGCCGCGUGUAUGAAGAAGGCCUUCGGGUUGUAAAGUACUUUCAGCGGGGAGGAAGGGAGUAAAGUUAAUACCUUUGCUCAUUGACGUUACCCGCAGAAGAAGCACCGGCUAACUCCGUGCCAGCAGCCGCGG
rnacentral:rRNA from 1 species